CCUACGGGUGGCAGCAGUGAGGAAUAUUGGUCAAUGGACGAGAGCCUGAACCAGCCAAGUAGCGUGAAGGAUGACUGCUCUAUGGGUUGUAAACUUCUUUUAUAUGGGAAUAAAGUGCUCCACGUGUGGUGUUUUGUAUGUACCAUAUGAAUAAGGAUCGGCUAACUCCGUGCCAGCAGCCGCGGUAAUACGGAGGAUCCGAGCGUUAUCCGGAUUUAUUGGGUUUAAAGGGAGCGUAGGUGGAUUUUUAAGUCAGUUGUGAAAGUUUGUGGCUCAACCGUAAAAUUGCAGUUGAAACUGGCAGUCUUGAGUAUAGUAGAGGCAGGCGGAAUGCGUGGUGUAGCGGUGAAAUGCUUAGAUAUCACGAAGAACUCCGAUUGCGAAGGCAGCUCGCUGGAC
rnacentral:rRNA from 1 species